rnacentral:rRNA from 2 species
AGAUUAGAGUUUGAUCAUGGCUCAGAAUGAACGCUGGCGGCGUGCCUAACACAUGCAAGUCGCACGAGAAAGUCUGCUUUCGGGCGGGCGAGUAAAGUGGCGCACGGGUGAGUAACGCGUAGGUAAUCUACCCCUGGAUUUGGGAUAACAGUGCGAAAGCGCUGCUAAUACCGGAUACGACCUUUUCGCGGGAGCGGGAAGGUGAAAGUCGGCCUCUCGAAGAAGCUGAUGUUCGGGGAUGAGCCUGCGUCCUAUCAGCUAGUUGGCAGGGUAAAGGCCUACCAAGGCGACGACGGGUAGCUGGUCUGAGAGGAUGAUCAGUCACACUGGCACUGGAACACGGGCCAGACUCCUACGGGAGGCAGCAGUGAGGAAUUUUGCGCAAUGGCCGCAAGGCUGACGCAGCAACGCCGCGUGGGUGAUGAAGGCCUUCGGGUCGUAAAGCCCUGUCAGGUGGGAAGAACGAUUGGGGGUCGAAUAGGCCUUUGAUGUGACGGUACCACCAGAGGAAGCGCCGGCUAACUCCGUGCCAGCAGCCGCGGUAAUACGGAGGGUGCGAGCGUUAUUCGGAAUUACUGGGCGUAAAGCGCGUGUAGGCGGCCUGGCAAGUCUGAUGUGAAAGCCCCGGGCUUAACCUGGGAAGUGCAUUGGAAACUGUCGGGCUUGAGUACUGGAGAGGAUGGGGGAAUUCCCGGUGUAGAGGUGAAAUUCGUAGAGAUCGGGAGGAAUAUCAGUGGCGAAGGCGCCCAUCUGGACGGUAACUGACGCUGAGACGCGAAAGCGUGGGGAGCAAACAGGAUUAGAUACCCUGGUAGUCCACGCUGUAAACGAUGAGCACUGGGUGUAGCGGGUACUCAUUCCUGCUGUGCCGCAGCUAACGCGUUAAGUGCUCCGCCUGGGGAUUACGGUCGCAAGACUAAAACUCUAAGGAAUUGACGGGGGUCCGCACAAGCGGUGGAGUAUGGGGUUUAAUUCGACGCAACGCGAAAAAACUUUACCUUGGCUUGACUUCCCCGGCCCGCUCUGGAAACAGGGAUUUCCCUUUUGGGGGACCGGGAUAUCAGGGCUGCUAGGUCUGUCUUCAGUUCGGGUCUGGGAAUGGUUGGUAUAGUCUCGCGAACAAAGCGCAACCUUUUUCUUAUUGCCUCCACCUUUCUGGGUGGUGGAACUUUUAAGGGUAACCUGCUCAGUGGUACCACAUCUGGGAAGAGAAAAAGGGGCGUGGGGUGCCACUACCACCCCUCCCAAAUGGCCUACUCUCCCCCA